AUGAAGGCUGGGUGCUAUAUGC
rnacentral:piRNA from 1 species